AGGCCUUUACUGACGCUAAAGCUCGAAGGUGCGGGUAUCGAACAGGAUUAGAUACCCUGGUAGUCCGCACGGUAAACGAUGGAUGCCCGCUGUUUGCGAUAUAGUGUGAGCGGCCAAGAGAAAUCGUUAAGCAUCCCACCUGGGGAGUACGCCGGCAACGGUGAAACUCAAAGGAAUUGACGGGGGCCCGCACAAGCGGAGGAACAUGUGGUUUAAUUCGAUGAUACGCGAGGAACCUUACCCGGGCUUGAACUGCAGGGGAACGAUCCAGAGAUGGUGAGGUCAGCAAUGACCCCUGUGGAGGUGCUGCAUGGUUGUCGUCAGCUCGUGCCGUGAGGUGUCGGCUUAAGUGCCAUAACGAGCGCAACCCCUUUCAUUAGUUGCCAUCACUUCGGGUGGGCACUCUGGUGAUACUGCCACCGUAAGGUGUGAGGAAGGUGGGGAUGACGUCAAAUCAGCACGGCCCUUACGUCCGGGGCUACACACGUGUUACAAUGGGUGAUACAGAGGGCCGGUGCAUGGCAAUGUGCAUCAAAUCUUAAAAGUCAUCCUCAGUUCGGAUUGGGGUCUGCAACCCGACCCCAUGAAGCUGGAUUCGCUA
rnacentral:rRNA from 1 species